rnacentral:rRNA from 1 species
AACGAACGCUGGCGGCGUGCCUAACACAUGCAAGUCGUACGAGAAACACGUCCUUCGGGGUGUGGAGUAAAGUGGCGCACGGGGGAGUAACACGUGAGUAACCUGCCGCUUGGACUGGGAUAACAAGCCGGAAGGCUUGCUAAUACCGGAUGAGACCACGAUUUCUUUGGGAAUUGGGGGAAAAGUCGGCCUAUCCUUGGAAUCCGGCGCCUAAUGAGGGGCUCGCGGACCAUUAGCUUGUUGGUAGGGUAACGGCCUACCAAGGCUGAGAUGGAUAGCUGGUCUGAGAGGAUGAUCAGCCACACUGGAACUGAGACACGGUCCAGACUCCUACGGGAGGCAGCAGUGAGGAAUAUUGCGCAAUGGGGGCAACCCUGACGCAGCAACGCCGCGUGAGUGAAGAAGGCCUUCGGGUUGUAAAGCUCUGUCAGGCGGGAAGAAAGGCCGAUAGUUUAAUGGACUAUUGGUUUGACGGUACCGCCGGAGGAAGCACCGGCUAACUCCGUGCCAGCCGCCGCGGUAA